CUAUAGCUCAGUUGGUAGAGCCCCGGAUUGUGAUUCCGGUUGUCGUGGGUUCGAGCCCCAUUAG
rnacentral:tRNA from 1 species